rnacentral:rRNA from 1 species
UACAGAGACUGCAAGCGUUAUUCGGAUUCACUGGGCGUAAAGGGUGCGCAGGCGGCCAAGUGUGUGAGGCGUGAAAGCCUGGAGCUUAACUCCAGAAUUGCACCUCAAACUACUUGGCUAGAGCAUUGGAGAGGGUAGCAGAAUUCAUGGUGUAGCAGUGAAAUGCGUAGAUAUCAUGAGGAAUACCAGAGGCGAAGGCGGGUUACUGGGCUGAUACUGACGCUGAUGCGCGAAAGCUAGGGGAGCAAACGGG